rnacentral:rRNA from 1 species
CCUACGGGUGGCAGCAGUGAGGAAUAUUGGUCAAUGGGCGCGAGCCUGAACCAGCCAAGUCGCGUGAAGGAUGACUGCCCUACGGGUUGUCAACUUCUUUUAUAAAGGAAUAAAGUGCGGCACGUGUGCCUUUUUGUAUGUACUUUAUGAAUAAGGAUCGGCUAACUCCGUGCCAGCAGCCGCGGUAAUACGGAGGAUCCAAGCGUUAUCCGGAUUUAUUGGGUUUAAAGGGUGCGUAGAUGGUUUGUUAAGUCAGUUGUGAAAUUUUGCGGCUCAACCGUAAAAUUGCAAUUGAUACUGGCAGUCUUGAGUACAGUUGAGGUAGGCGGAAUGCGUGGUGUAGCGGUGAAAUGCUUAGAUAUCACGAAGAACUCCGAUUGCGAAGGCAGCUUACUAAACUGCCACUGACAUUGAUGCUCGAAAGUGUGGGUAUCAAACAGGAUUAGAUACCCGGGUAGUC